rnacentral:rRNA from 1 species
UACGGAGGGUGCGAGCGUUGUUCGGAAUCAUUGGGCGUAAAGGGCGUGUAGGUGGUCUAUUAAGUCACGUGUGAAAGCCCUCAGCUUAACUGGGGAAGUGCGCAUGAAACUGACAGGCUAGAGUACCGAAGAGGAAGGUGGAAUUCCCGGUGUAGCGGUGAAAUGCGUAGAUAUAGGAAGGAACACCAGUGGCGAAGGCGACCACCUGGACUGAUACUGACACUGAGGUGCGAAAGCGUGGGGAGCAAACAGG